CCUGGCAGGGGUUUGGGCUGGCAGAGUCACAGGCCUGGGUCUUACAGCAAACACCUUCAGAUGCUGACCUGGUGCGGUUCAAACGUUCCUGUCCCAGAGCAGGUCCCGGGCAAGCCGUGGGUUUGCAGCCACAUCACAGCCAGGAGUGGCGCCAUCUGUGGGAAUCAGCCAACGCUGGUUGGCUCAAAGAUGCCACCAUUCCUCCUGUCUCUUAAAUAACUCCAGCCCACCCUUCUCUAGGUCUUGGAACCAGCAUUGUCUGCCCAACCCUCUCGUGCUCAGCGUCCCGAGGAGAAGAUGAGGGCAAGGAUGCCAAGAAUGGGUUGGGGAGGGCUGGGGUACAUA
rnacentral:lncRNA from 1 species